UUGUAGUUAUGUCAGUUAUGUAAUCAUGAUAUUUUGUACAAACCCCGCUAUGUCCUGCCGCUGCUAUCCUUCGCGCACACUGGCAAUGAGCGUACCCAGCUCUGAAAGGUGAGCGAGGCCCAAGACGUUUCUGGAACUUCUGCAUUCCCCGUGUUGGUGGCAGCAAUUUAAAAGCCUGCAUUUGUAGUGCUCAGUGGGCUGUCAAAGCAGAGAUCUGCAGGAUUUAAAGAGUUUUGUGACAGAUGCAGGAUAGCACUUCAGUUUCCACGGAAACCGGCAUCGGCUCUCCAAAAUCAAGAUCAACUGUAGCUCUGGGCUCUCUGAGGAAACACAGAACUUGAAUGUGUGAGAAGAUCACUCCAUAAACCUCCUGUGUGUACAUUUUGACUGGCUUGUAAAAAGAAUGCAGAAGUUCAUGACUCUCCCUGGCAGCUCCUUGAGACGACCAAAGAAAACACGACCUGCAAUAUGUAUGGCCACAGCCUG